rnacentral:rRNA from 1 species
UACAGAGGUCCCGAGCGUUGUUCGGAUUCAUUGGGCGUAAAGGGUGCGUAGGCGGCGGGGAAAGUCUGAUGUGAAAUCCUGGGGCUCAACCCUGGAACUGCAUUGGAUACUUCCUUGCUAGAGUACUGGAGAGGAAACUGGAAUUUACGGUGUAGCAGUGAAAUGCGUAGAGAUCGUAAGGAAGACCAGUGGCGAAGGCGGAUCUCUGGACAGUUCCUGACGCUGAGGCGCGAAGGCCAGGGGAGCAAACGGG